rnacentral:rRNA from 1 species
ACGGAAGGCAGCAGUGGGGAAUAUUGGGCAAUGGGGGAAACCCUGACCCAGCAACGCCGCGUGGAGGAAGAAGGUCUUCGGAUCGUAAACUCCUGUCCUAAAAGACGAGAAGAAGACGGUAUUUUAGUAGGAAGCCCCGGCUAACUACGUGCCAGCAGCCGCGGUAAUACGUAGGGGGCAAGCGUUGUCCGGAAUGAUUGGGCGUAAAGGGCGCGUAGGCGGCCCGGUAAGUCUGGAGUGAAAGUCCUGCCUUCAAGGUGGGAAUUGCUUUGGAUACUGUCGGGCUUGAGUGCAGGAGAGGUAAGUGGAAUUCCCAGUGUAGCGGUGAAAUGCGUAGAGAUUAGGAGGAACAUCAGUGGCGAAGGCAACUUACUGGACUGUAACUGACGCUGAGGCGUGAAAGUGUGGGGAGCAAACAGGAUUAGAUACCCUGGUA